rnacentral:lncRNA from 1 species
UUAAAGAUCGAUAUGAGUUGGAUUCAUUUACCGGAAACUCGUGUUUGAACUCCAAAAGAGCAUCCCUCUGGUCAUGACGGCAAGAGUGGAGCAUAGAAGAAGCAAGAGUGAGUAGAACGAGAGAAACCAAGAAGAAGAUAUACAAGGUAACAAUUCCAGAAAAGCAAUAAGAUUGGCUUGUAAUCAUCAUUACGUUUUUUUUUCUUUCUUUCUUUUGUGUUUUUGUGCAAGUGAUAGAUGUUUAAUUAUGAUUAUGGAUUAUGCAGAUAAUAAAAAAGAAAACAAAAACUCUAUUUGUCUUGACUUUGAUAAGUCUUGCCUCAAGUCGUCGGAUUCCAUUGAUUUUUGUUAACGGUGGGGUUCGCCGUGGAACAGACGUCUUUAAAUCACUGGCUCAUAGCGCUUGAUGUGUCUUUGAAAGUUUCAUUCACCACACACUCAACUUUCGUAAUUUUCCCCUCUCUUUAUUUUCAACUAGAUGAUUACCCGUGCAAAUGCACAGAAUUUUUUUUAUAUUUUUUAAAAUAUUUUUAAGUUUUUUGUAACUUAAAUAAACUCAAUUCAGAAUUUUCUUUUUUAGAUUUGUAAAAAAAAAAAAAAAGUUGUUAUUUAGUUCUUUUAAAAAUAAAUUUUUAUUAGUUUCUUUUUAGCUAUUAUUUUGUCUUCAAAGAAGCUAAUCAAACACAUAUUAUACUAAACAAAAUAUAGAGUUGAUAAUCCAACAAAUACUAAGUAUAAAAUAUCAACUUAUGGUUAUAAACUCAAGAGGCAUAUCCUAUAAAUAAAUAGAUAAAUUUAUUCGGAUUUUCCUAUUUUAAUUGGUAAAGUCUUUCACAAACUCUUCUGAAAUCAAAAAUGAAUAUAAUGGAGUUCUAACUAUGAUAUCCCAAAUUGUAUUAAACCCAUGACCACUUUUCUUCACCAAGUUUUUAGUAUGAAAUCACUAUAGAUCUCACGUUGGAGAUAAUCUUCUAUGCUAAAUCUUUCACUUGAAUUUAAUCGCUAACUUUAAUAUUCGUUAACUAAAGCGAAUUUAAAAACUAUCAGCCCAAAUUUUUUCAAAGUGACGUCUUAUGGUUCCAUAGUUCCAUAUGCUAAAUCUUAAGAACACUUGCAUGCUUGAAAAGAUUAUCGAGGCUUUGAUCACAUAAUUUCAUCCUCUUAACAUCUGUUUUACUUUUUGGGAUGCUUUAUGUAGAAGUAGAAAACUUUGGUACAGAAAAUUGGCAUAUAAACCCAAAUCUACAACUUUAGACAAAGAAACAUAUAAAAAUUGAAAACAAAUUAAAAAUCCAAAUCUUACAAUUAUGAAAUUUGUCUGAAAAGACUAUAGAAUACGAAAAAAUAAUUUAAAAAUCCAAUCUCUACAGUUAUGGGAUUUUUAUUUUAUUUAAAUUUGUUUCCAAAAUAGUUACUUACUUCCAUGAUUUUAGUUGUAUUAUUUCUAAUUAAUAAGAUUUAUCAGUCCCUUCAUUUGGUUACAAAUUUUGGUUUUUACGUCUAAAGUUGCGAAGUUUUAUGCAUAAGAGAAACGUAUUGGUAAAUUUUACAAUUACUUCCCAAUAAUUUGUUGCAUGAGAGAAAUACGACUUUUUACAAAACAAAAAUUCCUUAGUCAUAUUAGUCAUUACAACUAAAAUUUUUUUUUUCUUUAAAUAUGUUGUAUUCAUCUUCUUGACUCCUUUUAAAGAGAUAUUAUUUGGACUUUUGAGCAUACAAAUAAGUUUGAUUACAACAGAACAAAGAUUUGUCAAGAUUUAAAAUCUGAAGGCAACAUACAAACUAAAAAGAUUUGUAAUCCAAAUGUAGGCUAUAAACAAAGAGAUGAUCAUUCACUUUUAGUUCCAUAACUUUAUGUUGUUGACUUCCUGAUAUUCAUUAAGCUUUUCAGAGAUUAUGCAAUUGAUCUUUUUUUGUUUUCUCAAAUUACAUUUGAUUUUUUGUUGGACUUUGAUUUUUUGUUGGACUAUCUUUAUCAAUAAUUAAUAGAAUAAGAAGAAGUAAUAAUAUAUUCUCUCUCACUAAAAUCAAAGGAGAAGAAUUUUAACAAAAAAAAAAAAGAAGAUAAGAAGUUUAUUGUUCCUAAAAGUUUUUUGUAUUGUAUUUAAUGAUUUAGGAUUUUGGUGUUUUCUAAACAAAUUAAAAAUCAAUAAAAAAAUUUUUGGUUUAAUUUGGGCUCCCUUUGCAAAUGAACACUCUCGCCGAUCAAUUUUUGUUAUUACUACUGAAUAUUUGGUGCCUUUUCAGAACAACUUGGAUGAACCUUUUCGAACGUUUUGGUUUUCUCAAUCUAGUCCUCUGUUUUUUUUUUAAACUCUUUUGCUCUGUUUUUGAAUUUUUUUUUUUUUUUUGCUUUGUCUCAAUUCUAUUAGCUCAGGUUUAACCGUCCCAAAUCUUAGUGUUCGGAUCCUGUAAAUAUUUUAAUUUGUUGAUUCAAUGAAAUUCUCACAUUUCAACAACAACAAAAAAAAACAUACACAUGCUAGACCAAAACCCCAUAAUCACACACUAUCUUUCCAGUAGAUUCAUAUUUUUUAAAUUAAUUUAGGUUCAAUUUCCUACAUAAAAUUUAUUUAUAAAAUGGAACAGGGAACGCCAAAAGUAUCUCUUUCAAGCAUUGAAGUUGAAAUUUAGCCAUAGUAAAAAGAAACUGAAGUAGGAGCCUCCCACAGGGUUUAACAAUUAAUAAUUUUAUAAGACACACAGCUGAAGUUGAUAAUCAAAUAUUUGUUUUCACAGACGCAAAUUUCAUUUACCACAGCAAUUAAUUAAAAGUUAGUUUACACGUGAGGGUUGCUUAAGAAGAAAGUUACAUAUAUCCUAUUGCUACAUAUGAGUACUCUCACACGAUCAACCAUAUGAUAAUCCACACGAAAUGUUAACUGAGUACUUGUUCGAUUAGGUUGGGAGGCCGAGCUUGUUCUCGCUUGCAGCGGACGGAGAGGCUGGAGUGAGGAAGAUGCUGCAAAUCGAAACCACAUCAAGACCGAUUGGGACUUUCCUCAUUACAUCCCGGCCAAGCUAUAGCUAAAAACUAAUUCACUUCUUUUGAUAGUGUCAUCAAAGAGAAUGAAAAGAGAGAUAGAUUGAUGUUUGAAUUUAUAAUUUAAUAAUGUAUUUUUCCCAUCCAACUUUAAAAUCGAAAAUUUCCAUUUGAGUAAAAGAAAAUUGCAUAUGGGAAUUCAGUGAUGACUAUUUAAAUAUUUAUUUUUAUAUACAUACCAUAUAUACUUCUCUACUGUUUGGUUAGCACCCUUAGUCAUUUAUUUGGAUUUGAGUCCUGUAAGAGUGACGUGUGUGAUAAGCAAGAGUUUACCAUUGAUUUAGGAGAAUAAAAAUUUACCAUUUGCGCUUUUGGACUUGGAAAGUUUUCGUAGAGAGAUUUAAAAUAACGUGAAUUGUAAUUCGUUUCCAUGAAAGACUUAAAGCUUUCCAGAGGAUAAGGAAUUAACCCGAUACAUCGAUCAACUAUGGAGUCUAUAAUUCAAACAUUUGUGAAUGCAUUUUGAAUUAUUACAAAACCUUAAAAUAGAAAAUUACAUUUGGAGAUCAACACACACAUACAUAUUCUCCAUAAACACUGACAAUAGACUAAAAGAGAAGGUGUUCAACGGGCACUUCUUCUGGGAUUGCUUCGAGGGAACAUUUCCAUGAACCAAUCGUGUUUAUGUGUAAAGAAGAUAUGUCCAAUCACAAAUCCGCAGAACACACCAGGUCCAUAGGCUAUGGCCGCUGCUAUCCAACUAAUCACUUGUUGUUCUUCUGGCUCCAACAAAUCCUCGGUUUCUUGUGGUUUAGGAUUCAGGACAUGAGUUUGUCCGCAUAUAUCUUCGAGACCGUAGAGUUUGGGGUUGUCCAUGAAUGCUGAACAAUUUUGCCUUUGAAACUGUGUGCCUUUUGGUAUUGGACCUUCGAAAUUGUUAUGUGAGAAGUUCAUGGUCGACAGAAAGGAGAGGCUUCCAAGAUCUGGAGGAAUCUGACCUGACAGCUGAUUCCGAGAUAGGUCUAGUGCCUCGAGCUUUGUCAGUUUUGUCAAUGAUUGAGGUAUAUUGCUUGCGAACGCGUUACCUGACAAGUUGAGAAGAUGCAAUUCCCUCAACAACCCAAUGGAUUUUGGAAUUUCUCCAAAAAUAUUGUUUCCCGAAAAGUCAAUAGCUCUAAAGUCUUUUCUGAUUAGGUCAAAUUUCGUAUCAACACCUUUAUUCACCAUUUCCAUCGAAAGACGGUAGAAAUCACCAAAUCCGGGAUCUCCCAUGUACAUGCUACCAUCUUCUUCGGAUGAUAUGGUCAUUUCACGCCAGGUCCAGAAAUAGAAAGGUGGCAAAGUUCCAGUGAAGUCAUUAUGUGAUAUAUCAAUGACUUUUAAACUUUGAAACCCAAUGGACACAUGAGGAUCAUACACCGGCCCGUAGAACUUGUUUGAUCGUAGGAUCAAGACAUGUAAUGACGUCAUAGAACUCAACCAAGAUGGAAACUUGUCCUUGAAUCUGUUGCCUUUGACAUUCAAAAGUUGCAAAGAUUCACAGUUGAUCAAUGAUUCUGGAAGCUUUCCCUCCAACUUGUUGCCGCUAACGUCAACUAGAGCUAGCUUGGUAGCAUUGGCAAAUAUCUCUGAAGGAAUAAUUCCACUGAAAUCAUUGUUCCGCAAACUUAGCUCUCUGAGACCAACAAGAGUGUUCUUAAAACAUUGAGGGAUGGAGCCGUUGAAGCUAUUGUUAGACAAAUCCAAGAGAUCUAACGGUCUAAGCUUGCAGAUCCAAGAAGGUAAUGGUCCUCGAAAAGAAUUUGAACUAAGACCCAACCACUCGAUAUAACUUAGAUCGGAAACUUCAAAUGAUUUUGCAAAACUGUUGAAAGAAUUGCGAGAAAGCAUCAAUGUCGACACGCCCGCUAACCAACCGGGAAUCUCACCUUCCAACUUAUUGUCGGAAAGAUCAAGAAACUCGAGUUUAACUAAAUUUGAUCUAGGGAUUGGUCCAGUAAAAUCGUUGUGGCUAAGAUCAAGCAUAACCAUAUUGACUAACUUUGGUAUAAAUGUGGAGAUUGACCCAGUGAAGUUAUUGCCACUAAGAUAUAAACUUUCAAGAUUGGGAAAUUUUGAUAUGGAUUUGGGAAUAGGGCCAUAGAAUUUGUUUUGAGAAAGGUAUAGAGACUGAAGCUUAGAGGAAGAAGAUGUGUUACUGAACUCUAUAGGUCCUUUGAACUGGUUUCCGCUCAAAGUAACCCAUGUUAACGAAGGAAUCAUGAACAAAGAUGUAGGAAAAGGCCCGGAAAAUGAGUUUCCACCCUCAUCAAAAUACUCCAAGUUGUGGAAUCUACUCAUGUCACGUGGAAGCGUGGAUUCAAAAUGAUUAUUGGCAAUGUUUAAGACGGACAAACUGGUUAAAUUUUCUAGUAUAAGAGGGAAAUCCACACACGUGAACUGGUUGCCUGAGAUGUAUAAAUGGGACAGUUUCGUUAAGUUGGCAAAUGAAACAGGAAUAUUCCCACUGAGUUUGUUAUUGCUAAGGCUUAGGUAUCUUAGUUGGGUUAGGUUUCCGACUAAAGCCAUAACUUCACCAACUAAAUCAUUAUCCGAAAGGUCAAGAUGUGUGAGAUGGGAAAGGUUUCCUAAUGAAGAAGGA